CGCGGGGAACUGAAACAUCUUAGUACCCGCAGGAAAAGAAAGGAUUCCCUGAGUAGUGGCGAGCGAAAGGGGAGGAGCCCAAACCAGAGAUAACCUAGUGGUGUAAGGGCCAAAGUUAUCCUGGGGUUGGCAACAAGAGCCGAAGAAGGACGUGGUACACUGCGAAAAGCCUCGGGGAGCCGUGUGCAGGCGAAGAGCCGGGGAUAUCCGAAUGGGGAAACCCGCCUGAGAGAAGCUCAGGCACCGGCGGGUGAACACAUAGCCCGAGCGGGGGGCACGCGGGGAACUGAAACAUCUUAGUACCCGCAGGAAAAGAAAGGAUUCCCUGAGUAGUGGCGAGCGAAAGGGGAGGAGCCCAAACCAG
rnacentral:rRNA from 1 species